rnacentral:rRNA from 1 species
UACAGAGGGUGCAAGCGUUGUUCGGAAUUAUUGGGCGUAAAGGGAGUGUAGGCGGUUGGGAAAGUCUUCUGUGAAAUCUACGGGCUCAGCCUGUAACGUGCAGAGGAAACUACUCGGCUUGAGUGUCGGAGAGGAUAGGGGAAUACCCGGUGUAGAGGUGAAAUUCGUAGAGAUCGGGUGGAACACCAGUGGCGAAGGCGCCUGUCUGGCUGACAACUGACGCUGAGACUCGAAAGCAUGGGGAGCAAACAGG